rnacentral:tRNA from 1 species
GUCUGGAUAGCUCAGUGGGUUAGAGCAUGGUGCUGAUAGUGCCACGGUUGCAGGUUUGAUCCCCAUAUGGGACA